rnacentral:tRNA from 1 species
GCCGGGAUGGCGGAAUGGUCUACGCAGAGGACUUAAAAUCCUCCGGAGCUUAGCUCCUUGCGGGUUCAAAUCCCGCUCCCGGCACCA